rnacentral:rRNA from 1 species
UACGUAGGGGGCAAGCGUUAUCCGGAAUCAUUGGGCGUAAAGAGCUCGUAGGCGGUUUGUCGCGUCUGCUGUAGUGAAAACUGGGGGCCUCAACCCCCAGCCUGCAGGUGGGUACGGGCAGACUAGAGUGCGGUAGGGGAGAUUGGAAUUCCUGGUGUAGCGGUGGAAUGCGCAGAUAUCAGGAGGAACACCGAUGGCGAAGGCAGAUCUCUGGGCCGUAACUGACGCUGAGGAGCGAAAGCAUGGGGAGCGAACAGG